rnacentral:lncRNA from 1 species
AUGUAUAGCCACAUACAUGGAGGAGAGAUGGCUGAAGGACUUUGUACUCAGGAUUUUUCAAGACAUGUGGUGUAUCAUGCUCCCUGGCUCCUUGUGGGACCAGCCUGGUUUUCUGCUUUCCUCUGUUGGCAAAGGAUGGUGAAGGCAGAAAACUCCUUCUGCUGUCUUGGGAGAUGUCAACUCUGGACCUCUAAGCGGUUGAUGCCUGCCAAUGCUGACUGGUCAGGUGAGAUUCCUCAGUGCAAGUACGCAGUGGGAGCUUUGGCUCCGCACCAGAAAGGAGGCAGAAGAAUGAAGGAAUGCUCUCCUGGCUCCCCUCCAGGUAGCAGGGAAGGCGACGAGGACUGUGAGUGUCCGCAGCAACUGCUGGGCAAGGAUGGGGGGAAGGAGAGGAGGGCACAGCAGGGAAGGGGAACUGUUGGAGGCAAUGGUCAUAUUGUGUUUCCCAGGGGCCCUGCACUAAUGUACCCAUCUGAGCUUCCCAUUUGA